GGAAGGGCACCACCAGGAGUGGAAUCUGCGGCUUAAUUUGACAACGCGGGAAAACUCACCAGGUCAGGACACGGUAAGGAUUGACGGACUGAAGGCUCUUUCUCGAUUCCGUGGAAAGUGGUGCAUGGCCGUUUUUGGUUGGUGGAUCGAUCCGUCUGGUUAAUUCCGUUAACGAACGAGACCUCGGCACUCCGAAUAGCGCGGCGGACGUCGCGGCCUCCGGGCCGUCUUCCGCACGAGCUUCUUAGAGGGACCGUCCCCCGCCGGGGAAGGAGGUGCGAGGCAACGACAGGUCUGUGAUGCCCUUAGAUGUUCUGGGCCGCACGCGCAUUACACUGACGCGUCCAACGGGUGACUCCCGACCCGAAGGGGCCGGGGAAUCCGCAAGGCGCGUCGUGAUGGGGAUUGAACGUUGCAUUGUUGUUCACGAACGAGGAAUUCCUAGUAGGCGCGGUCAUCAACCCGCGCCGAUUACGUCCCUGCCCUUUGUACAC
rnacentral:rRNA from 1 species